GGGCCCGCACAAGCGGUGGAGCAUGUGGUUUAAUUCGAUGCAACGCGAAGAACCUUACCAGGGUUUAAAUGCAGAACGACAGGGGUGGAAACACCCCCUUCUUCGGACGGACUGCAAGGUGCUGCAUGGUUGUCGUCAGCUCGUGCUGUGAAGUGUCGGGUUAAGUCCCAUAACGAGCGCAACCCCCAUUUCUAGUUGCCAGCGGUUCGGCCGGGGACUCUAGAGAAACUGCCAGCGUAAGCUGUGAGGAAGGUGGGGAUGACGUCAAAUCAUCACGGCCCUUACAUCCUGGGCCACACACGUGCUACAAUGGUGGGGACAGUGGGAAGCGAUAGGGCGACCUGGAGCA
rnacentral:rRNA from 1 species